rnacentral:tRNA from 1 species
GGUAGGCUCAGCUGGUUAGAGCAACGGAAUCAUAAUCCGUAGGUCGACGGUUCAAGUCCGUCUCUCACUACCA